GAUGAACGCUAGCUACAGGCUUAACACAUGCAAGUCGAGGGGCAGCAUGGUCUUAGCUUGCUAAGGCCGAUGGCGACCGGCGCACGGGUGAGUAACACGUAUCCAACCUGCCGUCUACUCUUGGACAGCCUUCUGAAAGGAAGAUUAAUACAAGAUGGCAUCAUGAGUCCGCAUGUUCACAUGAUUAAAGGUAUUCCGGUAGACGAUGGGGAUGCGUUCCAUUAGAUAGUAGGCGGGGUAACGGCCCACCUAGUCUUCGAUGGAUAGGGGUUCUGAGAGGAAGGUCCCCCACAUUGGAACUGAGACACGGUCCAAACUCCUACGGGAGGCAGCAGUGAGGAAUAUUGGUCAAUGGGCGCAGGCCUGAACCAGCCAAGUAGCGUGAAGGAUGACUGCCCUAUGGGUUGUAAACUUCUUUUAUAAAGGAAUAAAGUCGGGUAUGUAUACCCGUUUGCAUGUACUUGAUGAAUAAGGAUCGGCUAACUCCGU
rnacentral:rRNA from 1 species